GUGCUCAUUUUAGCAGCAUGUAUACUUAAAUUAGAAUGACACAGAGAAAAUUAACAUGUCUCCCAUGUAAAGAUGACAUGCAAAUUCGUGAAGCAUUCCAUAUUAUC
rnacentral:snRNA from 1 species